rnacentral:rRNA from 1 species
GAUGAACGCUGACAGAAUGCUUAACACAUGCAAGUCAACUUGAACUUCGGUUUGGGUGGCGGACGGGUGAGUAACACGUAAAGAACUUGCCUCACAGAUAGGGACAACAUUUGGAAACGAAUGCUAAUACCUGAUAUUAUGAUUUUAGGGCAUCCUAGGAUUAUGAAAGCUAUAUGCGCUGUGGGAGAGCUUUGCGUCCCAUUAGCUAGUUGGAGAGGUAACGGCUCACCAAGGCGAUGAUGGGUAGCCGGCCUGAGAGGGUGAUCGGCCACAAGGGGACUGAGACACGGCCCUUACUCCUACGGGAGGCAGCAGUGGGGAAUAUUGGACAAUGGACCAAGAGUCUGAUCCAGCAAUUCUGUGUGCACGAUGAAGUUUUUCGGAAUGUAAAGUGCUUUCAGUUGGGAAGAAAAAAAUGACGGUACCAACAGAAGAAGUGACGGCUAAAUACGUGCCAGCAGCCGCGGUAAUACGUAUGUCACAAGCGUUAUCCGGAUUUAUUGGGCGUAAAGCGCGUCUAGGUGGUUAUGUAAGUCUGAUGUGAAAAUGCAGGGCUCAACUCUGUAUUGCGUUGGAAACUGUGUAACUAGAGUACUGGAGAGGUAAGCGGAACUACAAGUGUAGAGGUGAAAUUCGUAGAUAUUUGUAGGAAUGCCGAUGGGGAAGCCAGCUUACUGGACAGAUACUGACGCUGAAGCGCGAAAGCGUGGGUAGCAAACAGG